GGCCCCAUCGUCUAGUGGUCCAGGACACAUGGUUCUCAGCCAUGGAACAGGAGUUCGAUUCUCCUUGGGGCUACAA
rnacentral:tRNA from 2 species